AGGACGUGUCGGCUGCUU
rnacentral:snRNA from 1 species